AUCAGCUCAAAAAGGAGGAGUUGAGUCAACAAUGAGGUGACACCAGGAGAACAUUAAAACAUUCUGUGGUUCAUCGUCUCUUCAUUUUUCCAUUCAUCACCAUCUAAUCACAUCACAGCUUGAAUUCAGAACAGUGAUGGCAGCAGCAGACUUGUCCAGAAGCAGAGCGGCUGCUUCCAGAAGCACCAAAGGCCUGUUCUUCAUCUGCACUCUGCUGUGUCUGCUUUGCUUCGUCAGUUCAUCCGUCGACAAGGAAAAGUACAAGGAAAAUUAUCUGACAUUCAAACAAGAACUGGAUGAACUCAAGGAGAAACACACCACAGAUUCAGCCAUGACUUCAGAGCAAAUCAGUGAAUACCUGACUCUCAUGGACCAACUGACUGCUCUGGUGAAGAAAGCCAAAAAAUUUGCACCUGAUGACCUUUCUUCAGUGGAGAAACGCAUGAAGAGCAUCACUGCUGUAAUAAAGAAAACCAAGGCUCGACUAGACCGUGAUAAUGAGGAAUUAAAUCAACAAAUGCAGAACACUGAGGAGGAACUGGCAAAAAUUCAGGAACUGAUCCCGUUCCUCCAAGAGCAGCAAGCUGAACUGUAAAAUCAGUCAGUGUUUCUAUUUCUGAUACUGUAUUGAUUGUAUAUGUUCGGUUCAUCUUUCUGUUUGACACUAUCUCACAUUCUAGUCCUCUGCUGAAAAAUUAAACUAACUGUUUUCUGCUGAUCCUUACACACACAGAUAACAAUGUAAUGUUCAGUCUACAUUCCUACUGAUUACAUUUGUAUUGUUCAGAUUUAGAUAAUUGGGGGAAAAAAUAACUUGUACUUUCAAUAAACGAUGGAAAUCGGAAA